UACGUAGGGUGCGAGCGUUAAUCGGAAUUACUGGGCGUAAAGCGUGCGCAGGCGGUUUUGUAAGACAGGGGUGAAAUCCCCGGGCUUAACCUGGGAACUGCAUUUGUGACUGCAAGGCUAGAGUGUGGCAGAGGGGGGUAGAAUUCCGCGUGUAGCAGUGAAAUGUGUAGAUAUGCGGAGGAAUACCGAUGGCGAAGGCAGCUUCCUGGGUCAACACUGACGCUCAUGCACGAAAGCGUGGGGAGCAAACAGG
rnacentral:rRNA from 1 species